rnacentral:rRNA from 1 species
AGACACGUAUCCAACCUGCCCUUUACUCGGGGAUAGCCUUUCGAAAGAAAGAUUAAUACCCGAUAGCAUAAUGAUUCCGCAUGGUUUCAUUAUUAAAGGAUUCCGGUAAAGGAUGGGGAUGCGUUCCAUUAGGUUGUUGGUGAGGUAACGGCUCACCAAGCCUUCGAUGGAUAGGGGUUCUGAGAGGAAGGUCCCCCACAUUGGAACUGAGACACGGUCCAA